AACGAACGCUGGCGGCGUGCCUAACACAUGCAAGUCGUGCGAGAAAGUUCCUUCGGGAGCGAGUAAAGCGGCGCACGGGUGAGUAACACGUAGGUAACCUGCCCCCCAGUCUGGAACAACUAGAGGAAACUCUAGCUAAUGCCGGAUGAGACCACGAUCCCUUCGGGGGUUGCGGCCAAAGAUGGCCUCUACUUGUAAGCUAUCGCUGAGGGAUGGGCCCGCGGGCCAUUAGCUUGUUGGUGAGGUAACGGCUCACCAAGGCUGUGAUGGCUAGCUGGUCUGAGAGGAUGACCAGCCACACUGGGACUGAGACACGGCCCAGACUCCUACGGAGGCAGCAGUGGGGAAUAAUUGCGCAAUGGGCGAAAGCCUGACGCAGCGACGCCGCGUGGGUGAUGAAGGCCUCGGUCGUAAGACC
rnacentral:rRNA from 1 species